GGAAAAUAAACUAGCGGCAAAUCCCUACACGCAAAAAUACCAAUGACCGCUCUAAAAUACAUGGCAAGAGGGUUCCUAAAACAUGGACAUUGAACCUACGGCAUACGGACAAACCGGACAUGCGCGAAAAAUAAAUACGGGACGCAAAUAUAAUAUGACAACACGUGUUUCUAGGCAUACGACACGCUAAACGACGUCAAAAAACUAUGCAAGUUGCAAAAAUGGAUUCUACGCGAAAUUCUACACCAAAACCAUAUACAAUACGCCUCGAUCCGACUAACGGAAUAAAAACUACGGGCAAAAUAAUAUUCACCUAUUUCUAGAAUUUUAAAUAAAUUUCGAAAUAUCUCUAAACGUAAAAAAAU
rnacentral:lncRNA from 1 species